rnacentral:rRNA from 1 species
GAAAGUAAAGAAGGGCGCAGGGCGGAUGCCUUGGCUCACGGAGGCGAUGAAGGACGUGAUAAGCUGCGAUAAGCCGCGGUAAGGCGCAAAUGGCCUGUGACCCGCGGAUUUCCGAAUGGGACAACCCGUCCGCUCGAACGGCGGACAUCGCAUCAAUACGAUGCGAGGCGAACCGGGGGAACUGAAACAUCUUAGUACCCCGAGGAAGAGAAAAUAAAUCAAUGAUUCCCCCAGUAGUGGCGAGCGACCGGGGAAGAGCCCAAACCGCCGCUGUCUUCGGGCAGGGGCGGGGUUGUAGGAACGCCAUGAUGGCAUGUGAUGACGAGCGGAACCGUCUGGAAAGACGGACCGCAGAAGGUGACAGUCCUGUAUGCGAAGUCAGGGCAUGCCAGGCGUACUCCUGAGUAACGCGGGACACGAGUAAUCCUGCGCGAAUCCGCCGGGCCCAUCCGGCAAGGCUAAAUACUCCCGUGAGACCGAUAGUGUACCAGUACCGUGAGGGAAAGGUGAAAAGAACCCCGAGCAGGGGAGUGAAAGAGCUCCUGAACCCCUGCGCCUACAAGCGGUCGGAGCAUGUAUAUCAUGUGACGGCGUGCCUUUUGCAUAAUGAACCUACGAGUUGCCGUCGCCGGCAAGGUUAAGGAUGAUGACAUCCGUAUCCGCAGUGAAAGCGAGCCUGAAUAGGGCGUAUGAGUCGGCGGAGGCAGACGCGAAACCAAGUGAUCUACACUUGGCCAGGAUGAAGUCCCGGUAACACGGGAUGGAGGUCCGCACCGAUAAGCGUUGAAAAGCUUCCGGAUGAGCCGAGUGUAGGAGUGAAAGGCCAAUCAAACUUGGAGAUAGCUCGUACUCCCCGAAAUGCAUUUAGGUGCAGCGUGCGGUGUUAGUCAUGUGAGGUAGAGCGACCGAUAGGAUGAGGGGGUUUCACCGCCUGCCAAGUCCUGACGAACUCCGAAUGCGCAUGAGUCGCAGCCGUGCAGUAAGGGGGCGGGUGCUAAGGUCCGUCCCCGAGAGGAGAAGAAUCCAGACCGCCGUCUAAGGUCCCGGAAUUCUGUCUGAGUUAGUCUAACGAAGUGAGGUCCCGAAGACAGCCAGGAUGUUGGCUUGGAAGCAGCCAUUCAUUCAAAGAGUGCGUAACAGCUCACUGGUCGAGGGUCCUUGCGUGGAUAAUAAUCGGGUAUAAGACAGAUACCGAAGGCGCGGGAUAGCAAUUUUAAAAGUAUCGGUAGGGGAGCAUUCCAUACGCGUCGAAUGGAAAGGGUGACCUUUCCUGGAGGGUAUGGAAAAGCAAAUGUAGGUAUAAGUAACGACAAGGGGACUGAGAUUGUCCCCCGCCGCAAGACCGAGGUUUCCCGGGCAAUGCCAAUCAACCCGGGGUCAGUCGGGUCCUAAGUUUAAGCCGAACGGCGAGAGCGAUGGCAGAUACGGUCAACAUUCCGUAACUGCCGCACACGGCGAUGUGGUGACGGAGCAGUGGAACCGCCGCGGACCGACGGAAUGGUCCGUUGAAGGGUGUAGGUGUUGAGGAGGACAGGCAAAUCCGUCCUCCGAGCCGAACCUGAGAGUAUGCCGGUCUUCUCGGAGACAGGCAAUAGCGCGGGUAAUCAUACUCCCGAGAAAAACCGCUAAGCAACGUGUGCGGCACCCGUACCGCAAACGGACACACGUGGUCGUGUAGAACAUACUGAGGCGUUGAGAGAUUCAUGGUUAAGGAACUAGGCAAACUGACCCCGUAACUUCGGGAUAAGGGGUCCUCACCUUAUGGUGAGGCGCAGAGAAUAGGUCCAGGCAACUGUUUAACAAAAACACAGGGCUGUGCUAACUCGAAAGAUGAUGUAUACAGCCUGACACCUGCCCGGUGCCGGAAGGUUAAGAGGAGAUGUCACCGCAAGGGAAGCAUUGAAUUGAAGCCCCGGUAAACGGCGGCCGUAACUAUAACGGUCCUAAGGUAGCGAAAUUCCUUGUCGGGUAAGUUCC